rnacentral:lncRNA from 1 species
CAGGAGCAGGCUUUGCACAAACUAUCUGGUUUCAAGUUGCGACUCUCCGGAGUCCCUGGGAAGGUGCCCCAGGGACAGGGCCCCCAGGAUUGAUGAGACUCCCCCAUCCCCAGCCGCCCAGAGGAUAAGCAGGUGGGAAAAUGAUGUCUUAACAAGAUUAUAGGACUGGCCAAGGCAUCCAGGAUCCCACUACCACUUCUGGAGCCAUUGCCACCUCAAGCCAGCUGUUAGAAGAGCCACUGGGCGCUAACCCUGGCCCCACUCGUUCCUUCGAGAACCUUGUCCAGGCCUGUGGUAGCAUUAUAACUCCAGUAAAGAAAGUGCCCAGAGGAAGUGGUCAUACACUUAGGAAGGGAGGAAGAAGUCCAUCUCUCAUGGGUUCCAUGACACCACGUCUCGGUGCCAUUGGAAGCCAGAAGAAGCCAUCAGUUCUACUGAGGCUGGAGCUACAGGUAGUCGUGAAUUGCCUGAUGUGGAUUCUAGGACGGAACUCCAGUUCUCCACAAAAGCACUGAGAAACCUAGCCAUAAGAGGAGAUGGAAAGAGGUAAGAGCCAGAGGUUAUGGAUGCCUCAAAGGAAGCAGUGUCCUCCAGACACAACAGGACUGAUGCACACAUGAGCUCACAGAGACUGUGUCAACACAAACAAGAUUUCUUUCUGGGAGGGAGGGGCUUGUUGACACCUCCCACUUAGAGCAGAGUGUGGAACUGAUAUUGUUAAUUGGCUCUAACCUGUGAGCUUGUGGCUAUUUUCUUCAAUAUAUUAUUUUAUCUUUCCUGUAAUUUUCAUAGCCUCUAAUAAAGAGUAUGUUGGAGUUUU